rnacentral:rRNA from 1 species
AUGCUCGUGGCCCUCAGCGCGGCGCAAUGGGUGGUGGGCAAGGCGCUGGCCCCCAUUGCCGAUGGCUUGCUGGAGGCUUGGGGUGCUACCAAGAACUUGGGUCUCAACAUCGAGGCCCUUAGGAUGGAACUGCUGCUCGUGAAGGCCACGCUUGAACUCGCCGGCUGCAAGCAGAUCCAAGGCCAGGCUAUGGAGGAGUUGUUGGGGAAGCUGCGGCACUCGGCGCACUGUGCCGAGGACUUGUUGGACGAGCUGGACUAUUUCCGCAUCCACGAUGAGCUCCAUGGCAUGUACGACGCUGCAGAUCAGCAUGCCAAGGGUUGCGUCCAUGAUUUUUGUCUCAAUGCUCGCCACACUGCCAAAGCUGUUAGCCAACUGGUUGGUUUAUCCACGAGGUCGUCUGCUUCCAGCCCUGCAUGUGAUCCUGGAGAAGUACAAGCUGCAAGACAACGGGUCAGCUGUUGCGUUUGGCCUCAUGGUAGGCAGAGGUCAUGCGGCAAUUCCUCCUUGGCGCCAAAUGCUAAUCAGGAGGUCAGUGGAUGCAUUCCCAGGCUCGGUAAACUCCUCCUUUGCUCAUCUUCCCCACAUGUAUGUGAUGAUCAUUCUGGCCAGCCAACUCUUCGUGGUGCAUCACAAAAGGAAACACCAGUACUGGGGUUUCAUAGGGUUUAUGUCUCUGAAAGAAUGAAGUGCAUUGUUGAGCAACUGCAGCCUGUGCGUACAGAGGUUACCAAGAUUCUGCAGAGUUGUGACCGUAUGACUGUCCCUGAUAUUUCAGUGAGCCGUCCCAUUACCACUGGCCAAAGUACGGAGCAGAAAUUGUAUGGGAGGGACCAUAUCAUGCAUACCAUCAUACAUGAUAUGACCAAGGGUAAAUACUGCAGCAAGGAUCUAACCGUGCUUCCGGUUGUCGGUCCAGGGGGAAUAGGGAAGACAACACUGGUACAGUACAUAUAUAGAAACCAGCAAGUGCAAGAUCAUUUUCAAGUCCUUAUUUGGGUAUGUGUGUCACUCAGUUUCAAUUUGAGUAAGCUGCUAGAUGAGAUUAAAACAUAUAUCCCUCGGGUCGAAGGGGAAAAAGUUGGCAGAGUCGAAGAGCUGAUUGAACAGAGAUUAAAAUCCAAAAGGUUUUUGCUUGUACUGGAUGAUGUAUGGGAGUUCAGUAAUGGGGAUGACUGGAAAAGGUUAUUGCUGCCAUUCAAAGCAUCGCAAGAAAAAGGUAGUGUGAUUCUACUCACGACUCGGUUUCCAGCAAUAGCAAAUAUGGGUAAAACAGCUGAUUAUAUAGAACUGGAAGGAUUAAAAUCUGAAGAAUUUAGGAAGUUGUUUCUUUCGUUUGUGUUUGUUGAUGAGCCCUUUACAAGUGAUCAUAGUUUUUUGCUUGAGACCGGAGAUAAGAUAAUGGAAAACCUAAAGGGCUCUCCUCUUGCUGCAAAAACAGUUGGUGCAUUAUUGAGAAAAAACCUUAAUUUGCGUCAUUGGAGAAGAGUCUUAGAAAGUAAAGAAUGGGAGAGACAAACCGGUGUCAAUGACAUUAUGUCUGCCUUGAAGCUUAGCUAUUACUAUCUUCCUUUCCAUCAGCGACAAUGUUUCUCCUAUUCUGCAUUGUUUCCUGAAGAUUACAAGUAUAGUGGUACUGAGCUAAUCAACUUUUGGAUAGGACUGGAUAUUUUACAACCUUGUGGUCAAAAUCAAACAUUGGAAGAUAUAGGUCUGAGCAAUUUAAAUGAUCUGGUCACAUAUGGAUUUUUCAAAGAAGAGAAAACUAAUGGUCGUCUGCGUUAUGUAAUGCAUGACCUGCUACAUGAUUUAGCAUUGCACAUGGGAUCUCAUGAAUACAUUAGUUUACAUCGGUCUAAUGUGGGAUCAGUGCAGAUUAAGCCAUCCAUACGUCACUUGUCUAUAAUCAUAGAUGAUGAUGAUACACUCUCUCAAGAGAACUUUAAGGGACAAUUGAGAAAACUGAAGACGAUAUUGAAGGUUAAGCAAUUGCAUAGUUUGAUGUUAUUUGGAGAAAUGGAUGAGAGCUUUGCCAGCAUUUUGAGUGAUUUGUUUAGGGAAGCAAAUGGUCUUCGUGUUCUCUGUCUGGUUAACAUGCCAACUUCUGUGGAGUUCAUGUUACACAACUUUUCAGCACUUGUCCACCUGCGAUACUUAUGUCUGGGUACAAAAAAGUAUGGGAGGGAGAUGCAAUUACCACUUGCCAUUUCCAGAUUUUAUCAUUUAAGGGUUCUGGAUCUAGGAUCAUGGUAUGGCUGUUGUGAUUUGCCAAGAGACUUGAGCAAGCUUGCAAAAUAG